rnacentral:rRNA from 1 species
GAUGAACGCUGGCGGCGUGCCUAAUACAUGCAAGUCGAGCGAACAGACGAGGAGCUUGCUCCUCUGACGUUAGCGGCGGACGGGUGAGUAACACGUGGAUAACCUACCUAUAAGACUGGGAUAACUUCGGGAAACCGGAGCUAAUACCGGAUAAUAUAUUGAACCGCAUGGUUCAAUAGUGAAAGACGGUUUUGCUGUCACUUAUAGAUGGAUCCGCGCCGCAUUAGCUAGUUGGUAAGGUAACGGCUUACCAAGGCGACGAUGCGUAGCCGACCUGAGAGGGUGAUCGGCCACACUGGAACUGAGACACGGUCCAGACUCCUACGGGAGGCAGCAGUAGGGAAUCUUCCGCAAAGGGCGAAAGCCUGACGGAGCAACGCCGCGUGAGUGAUGAAGGUCUUCGGAUCGUAAAACUCUGUUAUUAGGGAAGAACAAAUGUGUAAGUAACUAUGCACGUCUUGACGGUACCUAAUCAGAAAGCCAUGGCUAACUACGUG